CCUACGGGUGGCAGCAGUGAGGAAUAUUGGUCAAUGGACGCAAGUCUGAACCAGCCAUGCCGCGUGCAGGAAGACUGCUCUAUGGGUUGUAAACUGCUUUUGUACGAGGGUAAACGCAGAUACGCGUAUCUCUCUGAAAGUAUCAUACGAAUACGGAUCGGCUAACUCCGUGCCAUCAGCCGCGGUAAUACGGAGGAUUCAAGCGUUAUCCGGAUUUAUUGGGUUUAAAGGGUGCGUAGGCGGUUGGAUAAGUUAGUGGUGAAAGGCUGAGGCUCAACUUCGGAAUUGCAUCUGAUACUGUUAGGCUAGAGAGUAGUUGCGGUAGGCGGAAUGUAUGGUGUAGCGGUGAAAUGCUUAGAGAGCAUACAGAACACCGAUUGCGAAGGCAGCUUACCAAGCUACUUCUGACGUUGAGGCACGAAAGCGUGGGGAGCAAACAGGAUUAGAUACCCUUGUAGUC
rnacentral:rRNA from 1 species